GAAUGCUUUUGUGUUGAGUGAUUGGUUGAUGUGAUUUGCACUUCAGGGCCACCGUAAGCUAGCCUAGUGUGCAUCACGAUGGAUGACAUUGAGGCGAAGUAGUCGCUUUUUCUGUUCUCCCUGGAUGAUCCGACUGGAUUAUUUCAACGCACUCAAUGUUUUGCAAGAGAAACAACAGGCCUGCAACGUUUUUUCUUUUUUUGAUUUUGGGGUUCCGGUACCGUGAGUAAACUAAACUGUGUGUGUGUAUGUGCGUGUGAGCGUGCGCGCGUGCACGAGAUCUAAGGUUCCUAACGGUUCAAACUGUUAAUGUUCUACAGUUGUUACUUGUGUGCAGUGACUUUGUUAACUAAGGAGUAUUUUUUUUAUUGUUGAAGCAAAAAUUCAAUAAACAAUCACGGCGUGUCUUUCAAUGACAACAACAAAAUGAUAAGAUAAAGGUAGACACGAAAACAAAUAUACAAAAAAAAUAAUAAAUAAAAAAAUAUAAGUAAAAAUAAGUGGCUAUUAUUACACAAGCUUAAAUAGAUCAAAUAAAUUGCACAAUGUAUAGAUUUAAAGAAUAAUUUGAGACGGUCCAAUAAUGCAUUAAUGUGAUGUUUCACCUUUAAGAAUGUACAAGUAUGUAUAAAAUGUUUAGAAAUCAUAAUGAGUACAUUAACCAGAAAAUCCACAUUUUUCUCAAUAAAUUGUUAUCGAAUUUUAAUUGUAAUCCAAUUUAAAGGGUUAAUGAUGAUUUUUUAUUUUUAUUUGAGUCAAUUAUCAAAGGAAGACCAAAAGGUUUUUUUCAUGCAAACAUUCAAAGAAAAUAUGUUCCACAGUUUCUAGAUUAAUUCCACAAAAGACACAAAGAUCUCUAUAACAGUUAAAGCGGGUAUGUAGAAAAUGAUUGGAAGGGUAAAUAUCAUUCAAUAUUUUAAAGGUCACUUCUCUAGCUUUGUGAGGGAUAGGAUAUGACAGAAUGUUCGUAUCCUUCUAGCUUCUGUGGUGCUGUAAUUCUGCAAAAUACAUUUUCUUUUUAACGGGGAAGGAUAAUAUGAAUUAUUUAAAAUUUCUCAAAUAAAUUUGUUAGUUAGGGUCAGCGUCGCUCAAAGUCUAACAGGAAGUCAGAACCGAAGGAGCAUCAGACUUUGAAUGCCCAUAAGCAACUACUUUGUACAACUACAGGACACCUGGCCAUACAGAGCAUGGCACAUUCUGACUGCUAAUCUGGACCCCCACCCCCAGCUGACAACGUGCCACAACAUGAGAUGGAUGUGGAGAAGUGAAGAUGAUCAAAGAGUAUGACGAUGUCAGCCGAGAAGCAGUGAAAGAGGACUGAACUAAUCGCUUCAAGAUUGUCUUGGUCCUUCCCAAUGAAACACAGGACAACCAAGACCCAGCGUUUUUCUACACAGAGAGCAAUCAAACACAGGCAGCUGCCCCCCAGAAACAUCAAACUCCAGGCGCCUGGAGGAGCCACAAGUGGCUCGACAAACAUCAAAUCCCAGGCGCCUGGAGGAGCCACAAGUGGCUCGACAAACAUCAAAUCCCAGGCGCCUGGAGGAGCCACAAGUGGCUCCACAAACAUCAAAUCCCAGGCGCCUGGAGGAGCCACAAGUGGCUCGACAAACAUCAAAUCCCAGGCGCCUGGAGGAGCCACAAGUGGCUCCACAAACAUCAAAUCCCAGGCGCCUGGAAGAGCCACAAGUGGCGUCCCAGCUCUCUGUUCAACUUACUUACACGACCUAUCGUGAGGAGCCGCCGAACAAUCCCAUCCGUCCGGCUACAACAGCCACGGGGGUCAGAGGGCUGGUGAUAACUUGUUUGGCGGGGGCUGCCAUAGCAUCAGCAUUCCUCUUUGUCAAAUGGUACCGGCAGGUGCCAUAAAAAUUGGUUAUAAUGAUUACUUUAUUUUUUUUAAAUUUCAUUAAAAACGUUCAUAAAAUCUUGAUACUGGACUCUUCACAUUUCUCCGCUCUGAUUUACCUUUUGAUCCUUCCCGGGAAGGGAAGAACACCGGCCGAGAGCCGAGAGAGAGCCGGCAGAUUUAAGGGUCUAGCAGUGGUCAGUCAUCUUCUGUUAUUAAAAUUGAUGCCUGAUUCCUUUUAUUUUGUCUCUAGGUUGGGAUCCGCCCACCGAGGCUGGAAGAUGUGAUCUGUUGUCUUCUGCUUGGGGCGACAUACGUAAUUUUAUGGCAUUUUCUGCGCCACUCUUAAGCAAUUUGUUUUUAUUUAUUUAAUUUUUUGAUGUUUCCAUGUUUCCAUUUUUUUAAUUUCUAACUUUUUAUCAGCAAUAAAAUUCGUUCUCUUAUUCAUUGAUACAUUCUUCAUAUCCGUUUUGUCCCUUUCGGGGUUACGGGCUGCCGGAGCCUAUCCAACCACUUGUGGGCAAAGGCUAAGGACACCCUGGACGCUAGU